AAAUGUUAGAAUAAUACAGUUUUUUUGCAUGUUUUUUGGUAACAAUGAUAAACAUAUGGAAUACACACUUAGUUGUUAAGUGAUGUCAUAUAUGCAUUGUGGAGGAGGAAUCAGCUGGCUCUCCAGAGAGUGGACAGAUUCUGAUGCUGCUGUCUUGCAGUGCAACUAGUGACAGCAGUCCAUGUUCUGCUCUGCAGUUUCACUGAGCUUGAGCAAGCAGACUAUGAACACUUGAGUUGAAUCACACUAUCUCCCCCAGGGACCUGAGAAAGAGUGACGCCAAUGGCUUUGUACAGAGGGCUAUAACUGCUGCCAACGUCUACAACAACAUAGUGAAAUACGUUGACGAUGCCAACAUCACCUCACUCACCACCUUCAACUUAUCCGAAAGAGCUGAAGAUGCCACCAGUGGGAUCAAUGCGCAGCUUGAAUACCUCAUAACACAGAGUGACAAUGUUUUCAAGGAAUCUGUCACACUGCAUUCAGAGCAAAUUGAGCUAAAACAUGAGGUGACUGACAAGCUAAAAUACAUUGAGGAGACCAAAGAGACCAUGGAAAACAACGUGAAAAAACUCUCAGAAAUUGUGCAGGACAUCAGUGAACUCC